rnacentral:rRNA from 1 species
UACGUAGGGGGCAAGCGUUGUCCGGAUUUAUUGGGCGUAAAGAGCGUGUAGGCGGCUAGGUAGGUCCGUUGUGAAAACUCGAGGCUCAACCUCGAGACGUCGAUGGAAACCAUCUAGCUAGAGUCCGGAAGAGGAGAGUGGAAUUCCUGGUGUAGCGGUGAAAUGCGCAGAUAUCAGGAAGAACACCCGUGGCGAAGGCGGCUCUCUGGGCCGUAACUGACGCUGAGGAGCGAAAGCGUGGGGAGCGAACAGG